rnacentral:rRNA from 1 species
UACGUAGGGGGCAAGCGUUGUCCGGAUUUAUUGGGCGUAAAGAGCGUGUAGGCGGCUUUACAGGUCCGUUGUGAAAACUCGAGGCUCAACCUCGAGACGCCGGUGGAAACCGUAAAGCUAGAGUCCGGAAGAGGAGAGUGGAAUUCCUGGUGUAGCGGUGAAAUGCGCAGAUAUCAGGAGGAACACCCGUGGCGAAAGCGGCUCUCUGGGACGGUACUGACGCUGAGACGCGAAAGCGUGGGGGAGCGAACAGG